GGACUACUGGGGUAUCUAAUCCUGUUUGAUCCCCACGCUUUCGCGCCUCAGCGUCAGUUGUGUGCCAGAUAGCCGCCUUCGCCACCGGUGUUCCUCCUAAUAUCUACGAAUUUCACCUCUACAUUAGGAAUUCCGCUAUCCCCUCACACACUCCAGCAAUGCAGUUUCAAAGGCAGUUCCGGAGUUAAGCUCCGGGAUUUCACCCCUGACUUGCAUCACCGCCUACGCGCGCUUUACGCCCAGUAAUUCCGAACAACGCUAGCACCCUUCGUAUUACCGCGGCUGCUGGCAC
rnacentral:rRNA from 1 species